UACGUAGGGUGCAGGCGUUAAUCGGAAUUACUGGGCGUAAAGCGUGCGCAGGCGGUUUUUUAAGUCAGAUGUGAAAGCCCCGGGCUUAACCUGGGAACUGCGUUUGAAACUGGGAGACUUGAGUGUGGCAGAGGGGGGUGGAAUUCCACGUGUAGCAGUGAAAUGCGUAGAUAUGUGGAGGAACACCGAUGGCGAAGGCAGCCCCCUGGGUUAACACUGACGCUCAUGCACGAAAGCGUGGGGAGCAAACAGG
rnacentral:rRNA from 1 species